rnacentral:rRNA from 1 species
GACGAACGCUGGCGGCGUGCUUAACACAUGCAAGUCGAACGGAAAGGCCCUGCUUUUGUGGGGUGCUCGAGUGGCGAACGGGUGAGUAACACGUGAGUAACCUGCCCUUGACUUUGGGAUAACUUCAGGAAACUGGGGCUAAUACCGGAUAGGAGCUCCUGCUGCAUGGUGGGGGUUGGAAAGUUUCGGCGGUUGGGGAUGGAUUCGCGGCUUAUCAGCUUGUUGGUGGGGUAGUGGCUUACCAAGGCUUUGACGGGUAGCCGGCCUGAGAGGGUGACCGGCCACAUUGGGCCUGAGAUACGGCCCAGCCUCCUCCGGGAGGCAGCCGUGGGGAAUAUUGCACAAUGGGCGGAAGCCUGAUGCAGCACCGCCGCGUGCGGGAUGACGGCCUUCGGGUUGUAAACCGCUUUCGCCUGUGACGAAGCGUGAGUGACGGUAAUGGGUAAAGAAGCACCGGCUAACUACGUG